rnacentral:rRNA from 2 species
UCUGGCGCCUUCGGUGUCCGAGUUGUAAUUUGAAGAAGGUAACUUUGGUUUUGGCUCUUGUCUAUGUUCCUUGGAACAGGACGUCACAGAGGGUGAGAAUCCCGUGCGAUGAGAUGCCCAAUUCCAUGUAAAGUGCUUUCGAAGAGUCGAGUUGUUUGGGAAUGCAGCUCUAAGUGGGUGGUAAAUUCCAUCUAAAGCUAAAUAUUGGCGAGAGACCGAUAGCGAACAAGUACAGUGAUGGAAAGAUGAAAAGAACUUUGAAAAGAGAGUGAAAAAGUACGUGAAAUUGUUGAAAGGGAAGGGUUUGAGAUCAGACUUGGUAUUUUGUAUGUUUUACUCUCGGGUGAGGCCUCUGCAGUUUACUGGGCCAGCAUCAGUUUGGAUGGUAGGAUAAUGAC